AUUGAACGCUGGCGGAAUGCUUUACACAUGCAAGUCGAACGGCAGCACGGACUUCGGUCUGGUGGCGAGUGGCGAACGGGUGAGUAAUGUAUCGGAACGUGCCCAGUCGUGGGGGAUAACGUAGUGAAAAUUACGCUAAUACAGCAUACGAUCUAUGGAUGAAAGCGGGGGAUCGCAAGACCUUGCGCGAUUGGAGCGGCCGAUAUCAGAUUAGGUAGUUGGUGGGGUAAAGGCCGACCAAGCCAACGAUCUGUAGCUGGUCUGAGAGGACGACCAGCCACACUGGAACUGAGACACGGUCCAGACUCCUACGGGAGGCAGCAGUGGGGAAUUUUGGACAAUGGGCGAAAGCCUGAUCCAGCCAUUCCGCGUGCAGGAUGAAGGCCCUCGGGUUGUAAACUGCUUUUGUACAGAACGAAAAGGUUUCUACUAAUACUAGGAGCUCAUGACGGUACUGUAAGAAUAAGCACCGGCUAACUACGUGCCAGCCGCCGCCGUAA
rnacentral:rRNA from 1 species